UAAUGUUUAUGAAAAUGACUCCACACAUGAGCAUUACCAGGGUUGCUAUUAUAGAGAUAAGACAACACCAGAGGACAACAAUCAAGAUGUCAAUCAAGAAAGAACAUUUCAAAUACAAUGUUCCCAGGAAUGUCAGGUGGAGCAUGGCCAGGGGAUGAACUGAGAGACUGCUUGAGCUUCUGACCAAGGGGAGACUGGCUUGGUUUCUGACCUAGGCUGAGGCUUUGGUGUGGCUGAUGUUGGUCAUUGAUUGUUAUAUACUGGGCUGAUUAGAAGAAGACAGAAGAAAGUCAAUUGUCCUUCAUAUCUCCUUGACAGACUUGUGUCACAGCUGUGACAGAACUGACAUUUCCCAAAAUCCUCCUAACCUUCCUUAGAGAUUAGGGAACACCUUAUCCCUCUCACCUC
rnacentral:lncRNA from 1 species